UACGAAGGGUGCAAACGUUGCUCGGAAUUAUUGGGCGUAAAGCGCACGUAGGCGGCAUUGCAAGUCGGAUGUGAAAUCCCUCGGCUCAACCGAGGAACUGCAUCCGAUACUGGCGGGCUUGAAUCCGGGAGAGGGAUGUGGAAUUCCAGGUGUAGCGGUGAAAUGCGUAGAUAUCUGGAGGAACACCGGUGGCGAAGGCGGCAUCCUGGACCGGUAUUGACGCUGAGGCGCGAAAGCUAGGGGAGCAAACGGG
rnacentral:rRNA from 1 species